GUCAUUGAGUCCCUCACCUAACAGUUAUUCAGCCCAACCCCAUCUUUACCCUGGGGCAUCUUAUGUCAAUAGAGUGAUUGUACCUUUUUGAUGUAACUAAAUUACUAUAACCAAUCGAGAACGAUCAAUAUCGAAAAAGGUACCCGCAUCUCUACAAUGGUAGAAGACUAGUAGACUUAAUAUUUAGCGAGAAGAUUUAGGUUCAGGUCUCUUCUAAUUAGUCACAUACAUUUAAUGUAAUGACUAAUUUGGUUUGGGUUAGCACAUUUCAUAUCUGAUCAAUCUAGUCGGCAUGGGUGAACUCGAGUCAAUAAGUAACCUAAUACAAUACAUAAUCUCUCAAGAUGGCCAGGUAAGUGAAUAUGAGUGGGGGUCCCUCCGUUGCUUUCUUUAGAUACCAAUGAAUUGGCCAGGUC
rnacentral:lncRNA from 1 species